UUCCUUUGCAUAUUUUCCCUUAUUGUUAGUUUGGUCUUAUUUUUUUCUAGGCGUUUGAAAAGGGAAUAUUUGUCGCGACAGUAUUUCCGCAGUCUCCGCGAACUUCACAGUAAUAUUUCCUUGGUGUGUUCCCUUCAUUUUAUUCAAUGGAUUUGACAGCCAGGAUUUGGCUGGAGGAACAGUCGUCGAGGAGUUUCAACAGUUUAUGAAUUUGAUUUGUAUCAGAUUUGGUGAAAGAUUGGAGGAUGAAGUAGCAAUUAAUUUCAAUAGUGAUAGGUUAUGGACAUGAAUUUACUAUGACUAACGAGUAAUUCGAAAAAUAAGAGAUAAGCGAGAAAUGGACAAAGACAUACAAAAACGACUGAUUCUAUCAUGGAAGAAAUGACUCACAGGUGCUAGAAGACGGAAAAUUUGUCGCAACGACGGCAUUACUGUAGAUGUCGCGAACUUCACAGCAAGACUUCCUUGGUGUACAUCCUUUGUCAUUUUCUUCAGUGGGUUGGACAGAGAGGAACAGCCGUCGAGGAGUAUCAACAGUUUACGGAUUUGAUUUGUA
rnacentral:lncRNA from 1 species